GUGCUUGCUUCGGCAGCAUAUAUACCAAAAUUAGAACGAUGUAGAGAAGAUGAGCAUGGGCCCUGCAUGAGGAUGAUACGCAGAUUCAUGAAGCUUUCCAUAUUUUU
ensembl:snRNA U6 U6 spliceosomal RNA